UGACGGUACCUGACUAAGAAGCUCCGGCUAAAUACGUGCCAGCAGCCGCGGUAAUACGUAUGGAGCAAGCGUUAUCCGGAUUUACUGGGUGUAAAGGGAGCGUAGGCGGCACGGCAAGCCAGAAGUGAAAUACCGGGGCUCAACCCCGGAACUGCUUUUGGAACUGUCGAGCUAGAUUGCAGGAGAGGUAAGUGGAAUUCCUAGUGUAGCGGUGAAAUGCGUAGAUAUUAGGAGGAACACCAGUGGCGAAGGCGGCUUACUGGACUGUAAAUGACGCUGAGGCUCGAAAGCGUGGGGAGCAAACAGGAUUAGAUACCCUG
rnacentral:rRNA from 1 species